ACAUUUUCCACACUACAAGCAGCUCCCAUUCAGGUCACCACAAUUUAUUCAGAUCCAUGCCGCUGCAUAAACCUGACUAUGUCUUCCACCGGCUGCUGAGGGGCACCAGUUCCACUUUCUCACACUGUCAAACACUUUCCAAAGAACUGGUUUUUAAGGCCACACUUUUCAGCAGGGUCAUAAACAGGGUCAGACGCUGUAUUUUGGGUACAUCGGUGCUGACAGGACAAGAGAAUAUGCGACAUUGCUAAUCUUAGCUGCAAAGUGCUGCCUUCCUCUGCUGGCUUCUGAGAUGUGAUGUCCUGCUGUUUCGGGCUGCAAAUGAAGCAGCGAGAAGAGCUAACCUCAUCAAGGCAGCUGUGAAGUCUGUUAAGAAGAAAAUAACAGUUCUUCACUGUAAUCACAGAAUGGCCAGGAUUGGAAGGGAACUCAAGGAUCAUGAAUCUCCAACGCCCAUGCCACAGGUAGGACCACCAACCUCCCCAUUUAAUACUAGACCAGGCUGCCCAGGGCCCCAUCCAACCUGGCCUUGAACACCUCCAGGGACAGGGCAUCCACAACCUCUCUGGGCAGCCCGUUCCAGCACCUCACCACUCUCCUGGUAAAGAACUUCCCUCUGACAUCCAACCUAAAUCUUCCCUCCCUCAACUUAAAACCAUUUCCCUUUAUCCUGCUGUUAUCUACCCUUUCAAAGAGUUGACUCCCCUCCUGUUUAUAGGCUCCCUUUAGGUACUGAAAGGCUGCAAUGAGGUCACCCCACAGCCUUCUUUUCUUUGGGCUGAACAAGCCCAGCUCCCUCAGCCUGUCUUUGUAGGGGAGGUGCUCCAGCCCUCUGAUAAUCUUUAAGUCUCCUCUGGACCCUCUCCAACAGCUCUGUUUUUCUUGUACUGGGGGCCCCAGACCUGGAUGCUGCAUGCCAGAUGGGGCCUUACGAGGGCAGAGUAGAGAGGGACAAUCACCUCCCUGUCCCUGCUGUCCACCCCUCUUCUGAUGGAGCCCAGGAUACCAUCUGCUUUCCAAGCUGCAAUUGCACACUUCUGGCUCAUGUUAAGUUUUUCAUCCAUCAGGACCCCCAGGUCCUUCUCUGCAGGGCAUUGAUUUCCAGAAAACAUUACAGAUAUAUGUAGUAUUACAGGUAGAGCUGUGUGAAGUAACGUGUAUUUGGGAAUUCCUUACCAAUCUUGCUGAGAUUAUGCUCUUUGUUGCUUACUUCUUAAUUUUACUAAGAUCAAGCAACAUACAAACUGUUUUGUUUUUUUUUAUAUCUUGAAAGAAGUUUUCUUACAUUUUUCUGUGCUUAGUGUUUCCUCUGACAAUUCAAAACCCAAAUGUGCACUUUUUUUCCUUUCAUUACAAGCAGAGAGGCUGGCAUAAUCAUGCGACUGCUGGAACUGGGGUUUUAAGACCAGCUGUAAACUGUGAGCCUGCUGAAUAAUUUUUCCCAUGUUUCUCUUAAAUGCAGUGGCUUGGUCUCAUUUUAUACCCAAAGUAGUGCCUAGGCUCCCUUAGCAGGAAGUCUAUUUUGACAACCAG
ensembl:lncRNA